UACGUAGGGGGCUAGCGUUGUCCGGAAUUACUGGGCGUAAAGCGCGCGCAGGCGGUUCUUCAAGUCAGAGGUGAAAGCCCAGAGCUCAACUCUGGAAUGGCCUUUGAGACUAGAGAACUAGGGUACGGGAGAGGUGAGUGGAAUUCCGAGUGUAGAGGUGAAAUUCGUAGAUAUUCGGAAGAACACCAGUGGCGAAGGCGGCUCACUGGACUGGUAUUGACGCUGAGGUGCGAAAGCGUGGGGAGCAAACAGG
rnacentral:rRNA from 1 species